UGGCUCAGGAUGAACGCUAGCGACAGGCCUAACACAUGCAAGUCGAGGGGCAUCGGGGCGAGGAGCAAUCCUUGCCGCCGGCGACCGGCGCACGGGUGAGUAACGCGUAUGCGACCUGCCCGUUGCAGGGGGAUAAUCGGGAGAAAUCCCGUCUAAUACCGCGUAAUGCCGCGGGGCUGCAUGGCCCUGCGGCCAAAGGGAGCGAUUCCGGCAACGGAUGGGCAUGCGUGACAUUAGCUAGUUGGCGGGGCAACGGCCCACCAAGGCGACGAUGUCUAGGGGUUCUGAGAGGAAGGUCCCCCACACUGGUACUGAGACACGGACCAGACUCCUACGGGAGGCAGCAGUGAGGAAUAUUGGUCAAUGGGCGCGAGCCUGAACCAGCCAAGUCGCGUGAGGGAUGACGGCCCUACGGGUUGUAAACCUCUUUUGUCGGGGAGCAAAUUCCGCCACGUGUGGCGGAGUCGAGAGUACCCGAAGAAAAAGCAUCGGCUAACUCCGUGCCAGCAGCCGCGGUAAUACGGAGGAUGCGAGCGUUAUCCGGAUUUAUUGGGUUUAAAGGGUGCGUAGGCGGACUGUCAAGUCAGCGGUAAAAUACGGGGGCUCAACCUCCGCCCGCCGUUGAAACUGACGGUCUUGAGUGGGCGAGAAGUAUGCGGAAUGCGUGGUGUAGCGGUGAAAUGCAUAGAUAUCACGCAGAACUCCGAUUGCGAAGGCAGCAUACCGGCGCCCGACUGACGCUGAAGCACGAAAGCGUGGGUAUCGAACAGGAUUAGAUACCCUGGUAGUCCACGCAGUAAACGAUGAAUACUAGCUGUCCGGGGCGAAUGAGCCCUGGGUGGCACAGCGAAAGCGUUAAGUAUUCCACCUGGGGAGUACGCCGGCAACGGUGAAACUCAAAGGAAUUGACGGGGGCCCGCACAAGCGGAGGAACAUGUGGUUUAAUUCGAUGAUACGCGAGGAACCUUACCCGGGCUCAAACGACACAGGAACGUACCUGAAAGGGUUCGGCUCUACGGAGCCUGUGUCGAGGUGCUGCAUGGUUGUCGUCAGCUCGUGCCGUGAGGUGUCGGCUUAAGUGCCAUAACGAGCGCAACCCCCAUCGACAGUUGCUAACAGGUCAGGCUGAGGACUCUGUCGAGACUGCCGGCGCAAGCUGCGAGGAAGGCGGGGAUGACGUCAAAUCAGCACGGCCCUUACGUCCGGGGCGACACACGUGUUACAAUGGCAGGUACAGCGGGAAGCCACCUGGCGACAGGGAGCGGAACCCGAAAGCCUGUCUCAGUUCGGAUUGGAGUCUGCAACCCGACUCCAUGAAGCUGGAUUCGCUAGUAAUCGCGCAUCAGCCACGGCGCGGUGAAUACGUUCCCGGGCCUUGUACACACCGCCCGUCAAGCCAUGGAAGCCGGGGGUGCCUGAAGUGCGCUGCCGCGAGGAGCGCCCUAGGGUAAAACCGGUGACUGGGGCUAAGUCGUAACAAGGU
rnacentral:rRNA from 1 species